rnacentral:rRNA from 1 species
UACAGAGGUCCCAAGCGUUGUUCGGAUUCACUGGGCGUAAAGCGCAGGUAGGAGGUUUGGAAAGUCUGUUGUGAAAGCUCCCGGCUUAACUGGGAGAGGUCAACGGAAACUACCAGGCUAGAGUGUGGUAGAGGAAGAUGGAAUUCCCGGUGUAGCGGUGAAAUGCGUAGAUAUCGGGAGGAAUACCUAUGGCGAAAGCAGUCUUCUGGACCAUCACUGACUCUGAUCUGCGAAAGCUAGGGGAGCAAACAGG